ACUAUAAUCUCUUCCUUCACCUUAUCGGUCUCUUACUUACAGCAAUUCAGUCAUACCAAUAACUGCUAUUUCUAUCAAUAUAUUCACCCUCAUAAUCUCCAACUAUAAUACUACGCCCUCACAACUUUCAGCAUACAAUUACCCUCAUUCCAAUCACUCGAAUUCUUCACACACAACUGCCAUUCACAUUACAGUGUUUCACACAAACACAGACUCAUUCUCUCUACUGAAUUACAAUCAGAUUUCAGCAUUCAAUCUUUCUUCUUCUCAAAUAAUACCAAUCACAUUUCCAUUCCAUAAUUCACUUUACAAUAUUCAGAAACUCUCAAUCCUCUUAUUCAAAGAAAAUAACAAACAAAAGAAAAGAGGUAGCACCAAGCUUAU
rnacentral:lncRNA from 1 species